UACGUAGGGCGCAAGCGUUAUCCGGAAUUAUUGGGCGUAAAGAGCUCGUAGGCGGUUUGUCGCGUCUGCCGUGAAAGUCCGGGGCUCAACUCCGGAUCUGCGGUGGGUACGGGCAGACUAGAGUGAUGUAGGGGAGACUGGAAUUCCUGGUGUAGCGGUGAAAUGCGCAGAUAUCAGGAGGAACACCGAUGGCGAAGGCAGGUCUCUGGGCAUUAACUGACGCUGGAGGAAGCGGAAAGCAUGGGGAGGCGAACAGG
rnacentral:rRNA from 1 species